rnacentral:rRNA from 1 species
CAGUAGCCACGGUAAUACGUAGGUGGCAAGCGUUGUCCGGAAUUAUUGGGCGUAAAGCGCGCGCAGGUGGUUUAAUAAGUCUGAUGUGAAAGCCCACGGCUCAACCGUGGAGGGUCAUUGGAAACUGUUAAACUUGAGUGCAGGAGAGAAAAGUGGAAUUCCUAGUGUAGCGGUGAAAUGCGUAGAGAUUAGGAGGAACACCAGUGGCGAAGGCGGCUUUUUGGCCUGUAACUGACACUGAGGCGCGAAAGCGUGGGGAGCAAACAGGAUUAGAUACCCGCGUAGUCCCUGUCUCUUAUAC